GCCUUUUCUGUAAUUUUUACAGACUUGUUUCUGUAAAACGCCUACAGCGCAGGUCUGUUAUCCUGAUUACAGACACGAGUCUGUUAAUAUUUAAGAAAUACAGAAUUUCGUCCGUAAAUAUGACAUACGGGUGUUUAAAUUAAAGUGACGUCAUCGGUCUUCCUGGGCGCCAUUACUGCGAAGACCGUUAGUUAGCGGCAAAGAGGAAUCCCUCAACAUCGAGCACAAUAGUUGAACACUACAGUCAAUACCAAACAUUGCAGUUUUAGGCACAGCUUAUUGCAUCCUUGAGUGUCAUUCCUGUCAUCUAUAGAGUGGGCUACCCAGCCUUUCUCUGGGUGCAUUUUUGAAAUUAACCCAGAUAACGCACAGAAAUCAUGAAAAAGAGGAAGACUCGAGUGUGCCAAAAAGUGGUAUAACUAAUCACUAAACUGUCAAACUUUAAAUGGACGAAGUACAGUUACAACAAUAGCAACAAUAUACCGGUACUGUGAGAAGGUAUACGACGGUAUAGAUGCCACAUUUUGGUUCAAGGUGCUUUAAAUUCUGGACCACGGUUUGGUUAACAUGGUACAGAUAUUUUAACUGUCCAUUUUCAUCCGAUGCAGAAUACUCCCCUGUAGUUCAUGUGACAAGAAGGAGAAAAGAUGGCUUUCGGCAAUGAAACAUGUGUCCCGCUGAAAGUACAUUCCCCUCCGGCGAACCACAAAUCACGGAUAUAGGAACAUUUUGAAUCAAAAACGUCAGAUGGAAAAGCAGUGGCUAGGGAGCUGGAAACACGUCCAAGAAGAAAUACUGUGAUAUGUAUCGUUGCAACCUAUGAUGCAAUAAUGUUCAUGCAUGCAAACUUUAGGGAUAGGCCUAUUGAGUUUAUGGUUAGUUUUUAUACACCAGCACAUAGUGUGUAUAAAAUAGGUGAUAAGGGACCGAGCCACAACCCUUUUAUGAGUGAUACUUUGUAAAUGAGACUUUAAACGCACUGCAAGAAAUCUUUUUAAUGAAUCUUCUUAAUUAAACUUGAUCUUCUUAUUGUACUUUUGAUAAGAUGUCCGUUUACUUUAAUGGAAAAAUCUUUUGGUCAUUUAAUUUGUCCAUCAACAAUUUGGUACAUUUGUAAAAUUAUCCUCAGUUCAUUUUGUCUCUAAAUAUGCGGCCGUGUUGCAUAAACAUUAAAAUUGUGUAACUCUCAUCUACACAUUUCAUUUUGGGACUGGUUCAUUAACUUUGUCAGUAGUCGAGUUCCAUCUAAAUUUUUAU